rnacentral:lncRNA from 1 species
CAAAUUACUUUUGAGGAUUAUAGUCUUCCUUACAUGAAUUGCUUCAUUGUAGUGUAUCAUAGACAACUCAUUUAAGACAUAAUUUCUUAUUUGUAGGAAGCAGCGUGUCCUCUCUUUGUAAGCCGUGCUAUUUAUUAGCUUGAGCCUCAUACAAACUUCUUUUGAUGAAACUCCAUGUGGCGUGAUUGAGAAGGACUUUUUACAUGACCAUAAGUUCAGCUGAUAUAAAAAUUCAAGGGGAUAAGGGACAGAUGCUCAGGCAUAUUACGUUGACCUAACGUUGGGCACAGGUGGGACAGGAACAGUCCUGGUGAGAAGAGGGGAGCAAUGGACCAAACCUGAGAGUCUCUGGUGCACAAACAGGAGAAGACAAAAGAAGGGAUCUGCUCCCAGAGCACUGAAACCUGGGAAACAGCAGUGAAGUAACUGUCACUUUACACAAUGCCUAAGUGGAUUUGAUCUUAAGGAUCACUCACACCUGAGAGUCAAAGAGAGAAGAGUUCAAGACAUGAAUGAAGUCAUGAAUAAACAGCUGUGUAGGAGAACA